rnacentral:rRNA from 1 species
AAAUUGAAGAGUUUGAUCAUGGCUCAGAUUGAACGCUGGCGGCAGGCCUAACACAUGCAAGUCGAACGGUAACAGGAAGCAGCUUGCUGCUUUGCUGACGAGUGGCGGACGGGUGAGUAAUGUCUGGGAAACUGCCUGAUGGAGGGGGAUAACUACUGGAAACGGUGGCUAAUACCGCAUAACGUCGCAAGACCAAAGAGGGGGACCUUCGGGCCUCUUGCCAUCAGAUGUGCCCAGAUGGGAUUAGCUUGUUGGUGAGGUAACGGCUCACCAAGGCGACGAUCCCUAGCUGGUCUGAGAGGAUGACCAGCCACACUGGAACUGAGACACGGUCCAGACUCCUACGGGAGGCAGCAGUGGGGAAUAUUGCACAAUGGGCGCAAGCCUGAUGCAGCCAUGCCGCGUGUAUGAAGAAGGCCUUCGGGUUGUAAAGUACUUUCAGCGGGGAGGAAGGUGUUGUGGUUAAUAACCACAGCAAUUGACGUUACCCGCAGAAGAAGCACCGGCUAACUCCGUGCCAGCAGCCGCGGUAAUACGGAGGGUGCAAGCGUUAAUCGGAAUUACUGGGCGUAAAGCGCACGCAGGCGGUCUGUCAAGUCGGAUGUGAAAUCCCCGGGCUCAACCUGGGAACUGCAUUCGAAACUGGCAGGCUUGAGUCUUGUAGAGGGGGUAGAAUUCCAGGUGUAGCGGUGAAAUGCGUAGAGAUCUGGAGGAAUACCGGUGGCGAAGGCGGCCCCCUGGACAAAGACUGACGCUCAGGUGCGAAAGCGUGGGGAGCAAACAGGAUUAGAUACCCUGGUAGUCCACGCCGUAAACGAUGUCUACUUGGAGGUUGUGCCCUUGAGGCGUGGCUUCCGGAGCUAACGCGUUAAGUAGACCGCCUGGGGAGUACGGCCGCAAGGUUAAAACUCAAAUGAAUUGACGGGGGCCCGCACAAGCGGUGGAGCAUGUGGUUUAAUUCGAUGCAACGCGAAGAACCUUACCUGGUCUUGACAUCCACAGAACUUUCCAGAGAUGGAUUGGUGCCUUCGGGAACUGUGAGACAGGUGCUGCAUGGCUGUCGUCAGCUCGUGUUGUGAAAUGUUGGGUUAAGUCCCGCAACGAGCGCAACCCUUAUCCUUUGUUGCCAGCGGUCCGGCCGGGAACUCAAAGGAGACUGCCAGUGAUAAACUGGAGGAAGGUGGGGAUGACGUCAAGUCAUCAUGGCCCUUACGACCAGGGCUACACACGUGCUACAAUGGCGCAUACAAAGAGAAGCGACCUCGCGAGAGCAAGCGGACCUCAUAAAGUGCGUCGUAGUCCGGAUUGGAGUCUGCAACUCGACUCCAUGAAGUCGGAAUCGCUAGUAAUCGUGGAUCAGAAUGCCACGGUGAAUACGUUCCCGGGCCUUGUACACACCGCCCGUCACACCAUGGGAGUGGGUUGCAAAAGAAGUAGGUAGCUUAACCUUCGGGAGGGCGCUUACCACUUUGUGAUUCAUGACUGGGGUGAAGUCGUAACAAGGUAACCGUAGGGGAACCUGCGGUUGGAUCACCUCCUUACCUGAAAGAA